rnacentral:sRNA from 1 species
UUUAUAUUCUCCACGGGGGGGAUGAGAACCCCCGACCGGGGUUCGACAACUGGCGCAGCCAGUUGGACAGACCGCGAGCCUGCGAGCGGGCUGCCCCGCAGGGGCGAGCGAAGCGAGUCAAUCCCCCCCUCACCGCCA